rnacentral:lncRNA from 1 species
GGCUAAUAGGGUGUAGCCCAGGGUUUGGAUAGCGGUCGUUUUGGCGACUGCAUUGUUAGUGUUUCUUCCGCAGAUCUUUGGGUAGGGUUGCGAUGCCUACCUCUCUUCCUUGAUUGCUGAUGAAAUCAGCGGUUUGGGGCCUCUGUCUGGGUAGUUCGCCGAUUUGAGUCACUAGUGGCUUGUGGAUGUUGAAAGUUAUAGGACUCCCUAUGAGUCGGUUCAGG